rnacentral:rRNA from 1 species
GAUGAACGCUGGCGGCGUGCCUAAUACAUGCAAGUCGAGCGAACGGACGAGAAGCUUGCUUCUCUGAUGUUAGCGGCGGACGGGUGAGUAACACGUGGAUAACCUACCUAUAAGACUGGGAUAACUUCGGGAAACCGGAGCUAAUACCGGAUAAUAUUUUGAACCGCAUGGUUCAAAAGUGAAAGACGGUCUUGCUGUCACUUAUAGAUGGAUCCGCGCUGCAUUAGCUAGUUGGUAAGGUAACGGCUUACCAAGGCAACGAUGCAUAGCCGACCUGAGAGGGUGAUCGGCCACACUGGAACUGAGACACGGUCCAGACUCCUACGGGAGGCAGCAGUAGGGAAUCUUACGCAAAGGGCGAAAGCCUGACGGAGCAACGCCGCGUGAGUGAUGAAGGUCUUCGGAUCGUAAAACUCUGUUAUUAGGGAAGAACAUAUGUGUAAGUAACUGUGCACAUCUUGACGGUACCUAAUCAGAAAGCCACGGCUAACUACGUG